rnacentral:rRNA from 4 species
UUUAAUUGAAGAGUUUGAUCAUGGCUCAGAUUGAACGCUGGCGGCAGGCCUAACACAUGCAAGUCGAGCGGUAACA